UAGGGAAUCUUCGGCAAUGGGGGCAACCCUGACCGAGCAACGCCGCGUGAGUGAAGAAGGUUUUCGGAUCGUAAAGCUCUGUUGUAAGAGAAGAACGUGUGUGAGAGUGGAAAGUUCACACAGUGACGGUAACUUACCAGAAAGGGACGGCUAACUACGUGCCAGCAGCCGCGGUAAUACGUAGGUCCCGAGCGUUGUCCGGAUUUAUUGGGCGUAAAGCGACCGCAGGCGGUUUAAUAAGUCUGAAGUUAAAGGCAGUGGCUUAACCAUUGUUCGCUUUGGAAACUGUUAAACUUGAGUGCAGAAGGGGAGAGUGGAAUUCCAUGUGUAGCGGUGAAAUGCGUAGAUAUAUGGAGGAACACCGGUGGCGAAAGCGGCUCUCUGGUCUGUAACUGACGCUGAGGCUCGAAAGCGUGGGGAGCAAACAGG
rnacentral:rRNA from 1 species